rnacentral:rRNA from 1 species
CUCGUAGGCGGCCAACUAAGUCAGACGUGAAAUCCCUCGGCUUAACCGGGGAACUGCGUCUGAUACUGGAUGGCUUGGGGUUGGGGAGAGGGAUGCGGAAUUCCAGGUGUAGCGGUGAAAUGCGUAGAUAUCUGGAGGAACACCGGUGGCGAAGGCGGCAUCCUGGACCAAUUCUGACGCUGAGUGAGCGAAAGCCAGGGGAGCAAACG